UUUUCAGUGUCGCAGCGAAAGCGAUAAACACACCGCCUGGGGAGUACGACCGCAAGGUUAAAACUCAAAUGAAUUGACGGGGACCCGCACAAGUAGUGGAGCAUGUGGUUUAAUUCGAAGAUACGCGCAGAACCUUACCAACACUUGACAUGUUCGUCGCGACUUUAAGAGAUUAAAGUUUUCGGUUCGGCCGGACGAAACACAGGUGCUGCAUGGCUGUCGUCAGCUCGUGUCGUGAGAUGUUGGGUUAAGUCCCGCAACGAGCGCAACCCUCACUUUUAGUUGCCAUCAUUAAGUUGGGCACUCUGAAAGAACUGCCAGUGAUAAGCUGGAGGAAGGUGGGGAUGACGUCAAGUCCUCAUGGCCCUUACGUGUUGGGCUACACACGUGCUACAAUGGUAUCUACAACAGGAAGCAAAACGGCGACGUUAAGCAAAUCCUUAAAAGAUACCUCAGUUCGGAUUGCACUCUGCAACUCGAGUGCAUGAAGCUGGAAUUACUAGUAAUCGUGGAUCAGCGUGCCACGGUGAAUGCGUUCCCGGGUCUUGUACACACCGCCCGUCACACCAUGGGAGUUGGUUCUACCUUAAGGCAAGGUUUCAUACCCUUGACCACGGUAUAGUCAGCGACUGGGGUGAAGUCGUAACAAGGUAGCCGUAGGGGAACCUGCGGCUGGAUUACCUCCUU
rnacentral:rRNA from 1 species